rnacentral:rRNA from 1 species
UGCAGUCGAGCGGACAGAUGGGAGCUUGCUCCCUGAUGUUAGCGGCGGACGGGUGAGUAACACGUGGGUAACCUGCCUGUAAGACUGGGAUAACUCCGGGAAACCGGGGCUAAUACCGGAUGGUUGUUUGAACCGCAUGGUUCAGACAUAAAAGGUGGCUUCGGCUACCACUUACAGAUGGACCCGCGGCGCAUUAGCUAGUUGGUGAGGUAACGGCUCACCAAGGCGACGAUGCGUAGCCGACCUGAGAGGGUGAUCGGCCACACUGGGACUGAGACACGGCCCAGACUCCUACGGGAGGCAGCAGUAGGGAAUCUUCCGCAAUGGACGAAAGUCUGACGGAGCAACGCCGCGUGAGUGAUGAAGGUUUUCGGAUCGUAAAGCUCUGUUGUUAGGGAAGAACAAGUGCCGUUCAAAUAGGGCGGCACCUUGACGGUACCUAACCAGAAAGCCACGGCUAACUACGUGCCAGCAGCCGCGGUAAUACGUAGGUGGCAAGCGUUGUCCGGAAUUAUUGGGCGUAAAGGGCUCGCAGGCGGUUUCUUAAGUCUGAUGUGAAAGCCCCCGGCUCAACCGGGGAGGGUCAUUGGAAACUGGGGAACUUGAGUGCAGAAGAGGAGAGUGGAAUUCCACGUGUAGCGGUGAAAUGCGUAGAGAUGUGGAGGAACACCAGUGGCGAAGGCGACUCUCUGGUCUGUAACUGACGCUGAGGAGCG